GGACAACGAGAAGCAGGACGAAAAUUUAGAAAAAUAACGCAAGAAUUUAAAUAAUAAAGCAAGCGCGCACAAAUGAAUCUAAUUUUUUACAAAGGGGGCAACGGGCUACCAAAAAGAUUUUUAGGACCAGAGGCUACGAAGGGGGCGUGCCAAGCCCAGCAAGUACUCAAGUAGGCUAAGCAAGGGGCAAUAGAAAAGCGAAGGUGGACGUCACUCUCGGCACUGCCUCGGCUGGGUCCUUCGGAGCCGUUGACAAUUUUUCUUAAGCCUAAUGGUCGAGACGCUGCCAAAAAAAAAAAUAAAGACGACCGACAAAUGGCCCUCUGGGCUUUUACGCGGCUUAAAUAAUAUCCGCAGUCGAUUAAAAACCAAAAA